rnacentral:ncRNA from 1 species
CGUAGGACAGUCCUUCCGCUGGUAACACUUGCCGAAGCCUUAGCAGCCUGAAAGGGUGCCCCUCGACGACUUGAAAUAAAAUUAGAGGGUCUCAAAUGCUAGUCCACUGUAUAUAGGGUGGGCAACACUGUCAAAUUGCGGGGAACCCCUAAAGACCUUGACACCAAGCGUCUGCUGGAAACAGCGGCGUGGCCGAGCUAAUAGCCCUGGGUAUGGUAAUAGUUCAAGGUAUGAGCCCGAGCGAUCGGGUGAAAUGGGCGAUCUGCAGCCAAGUCCUAAGGUCUCUCUGUAGGCUAUGGAUGCUGUUCACAGGCCAAAUGGCAGUGGGUGGGAGUAUCAUCUCCUGCUUAAGAUAUGGUCGGUCCCCUUGUGAAAGCUUGGGGGUAAGUUUACCGGAGUGAGAAAUUAAUGAGCAAUUUUACCGGGUAUUCUAUAACUGUUAAGAAUAUCUGUGCUUGUUUGUUUGCGGUUCUCAGAAAUUUCUGAGUACUUUUACGUUCCGUAGGUGAACCUGCGGAAGGAU